rnacentral:rRNA from 1 species
AUUGAACGCUGGCGGCAGGCUUAACACAUGCAAGUCGAGCGGGGGAAGGUAGCUUGCUACCGGACCUAGCGGCGGACGGGUGAGUAAUGCUUAGGAAUCUGCCUAUUAGUGGGGGACAACAUCUCGAAAGGGAUGCUAAUACCGCAUACGUCCUACGGGAGAAAGCAGGGGAUCUUCGGACCUUGCGCUAAUAGAUGAGCCUAAGUCGGAUUAGCUAGUUGGUGGGGUAAAGGCCUACCAAGGCGACGAUCUGUAGCGGGUCUGAGAGGAUGAUCCGCCACACUGGGACUGAGACACGGCCCAGACUCCUACGGGAGGCAGCUGUGGGGAAUAUUGGACAAUGGGGGGAACCCUGAUCCAGCCAUGCCGCGUGUGUGAAGAAGGCCUUAUGGUUGUAAAGCACUUUAAGCGAGGAGGAGGCUACUCUAGUUAAUACCUAGGGAUAGUGGACAUUACUCGCAGAAUAAGCACCGGCUAACUCUGUGCCAGCCGCCGCUGUAA